rnacentral:miRNA from 1 species
AUGCUCUUCCCACUGUCAUUUUCC